rnacentral:tRNA from 1 species
GCCGAAGUAGCUCAGUUGGUAGAGCGGCGGUAUCGUAAACCGUAGGUCGCCGGUUCAAUUCCGGCCUUCGGCU